rnacentral:tRNA from 1 species
UCCCCAGUAGCUCAGUUGGCAGAGCAGAUGGCUGUUAACCAUCGAGUCCGCGGUUCGAGUCCGUGCUGGGGAG